rnacentral:rRNA from 1 species
AGCGUUGCUCGGAAUCACUGGGCGUAAAGCGCACGUAGGCGGAUGUUUAAGUCAGAGGUGAAAGCCUGGAGCUCAACUCCAGAACUGCCUUUGAUACUGGGCAUCUUGAGUCCGGAAGAGGUAAGUGGAACUGCGAGUGUAG